rnacentral:misc_RNA from 1 species
GGAUGGAUCAUUAACGUGUAAUAGCUAGCGGUGUCUGCAAGGACGCCGCUGGUCUAAUAACUCUGUUAUACCCUUGUGGUGAAUAUAGGAAACUAGUGUGAUUGUGGUGGUUGGGGUGUGUCAAAGCACCUAGGACGCCACGAUCCUCUUCUUAACUAAAAACAUUAUCAUUACAUUAUCAAUCUAAAGUAACCUUGUGGACAAGAUAUUCAUUUAUUGCAAUCACCAAGUAAAACAAUAACAAUCUAAUACAACUGCUAGCAACGGAUCACUCGGCUCUCGCGUCGAUGAAGAACGUAGCGAACUGCGAAAAUUAAUGCGACCCGCAAACACGUGAGUCAUCGAGUCUUUGAACGCAUAUUGCACCCGACAGGCUCGCUUGUCGGGUCUGCCUGUCUGAGUAUCAGUACGGACCCAAUCAACAAUAAAAGGUUAUUAAACUAACUGGACGCUGUUGUGUUGGUGCUCACUGGAGGUGCUAGCAUCUCUGGUGGAUUUGAGUGUUCAGCCAUCACUAUUUGGCUGAUCGCUUGAAAUGUAUUGGUGUCGUCUAGCUGACAGUCGCCGCGUAAGCAUUGUUAAUCAUCUUUAUUGAUGUUCCUUGCUAUACUACGUGGACCACGGCAAUAAGCAUCUAUUAGCACGAUCCAAGCACAAACUCCAAAUACUUGUAUUUAACCAUCUUGAUCUCAGAUCAGGCAGGAUGACCCGCUGAACUUAAGCAUAUCAGUAAGCGGAGGAAAAGAAACUAACCAGGAUUCCCUUAGUAACGGCGAGUGAAGCGGGAAUAGCCCAAUCUGAAAAGCUGGUCAGCCCCGGUGCUGGUCCCGCAUUGUAGGUUGAUGGGGCGUUACCUAGUGUCAAGCCUUUCGAUUAAAGUUCCUUGGAACAGGACGUCAAAGAGGGUGAAAACCCCGUGGAUAAUCGAACGACAUACCAGCUUGAUGCGUCUACGGUGCGUCUCCUUAGAGUCGGAAUGUUUGGGAUUGCAUUCCAAAAUGGGUGGUAAACUCCAUCUAAGGCUAAAUACUGGCGAGAGACCGAUAGCGAACAAGUACCGUGAGGGAAAGUUGAAAAGCACUCUGGAGAGAGAGUCAAACAGUACGUGAAAUUGCUAGCAGGGAAACGUUGGGCACCAGUACGCGGCAAUCAAUGUCGAUGAUCAACCGGUGGACGAGAGAAUCAGUGCGUGGUGUUUACUUUGGAGACUAUCCUCGGAUGGCUCACGCGUAAUGAGUUUCUUGGCCACCGACGCACUCUUCGGCAGCCGGGUCAACAUCGGUUAAUGACGUUCGAUAAGCCAUUGAGCAAGGUAGCAUUGUCAGGUUCUGCCUGGCAUUGAACUUAUAGGCUCAGUGUGCGAGGAUGUCGUUGACCGAGGCGGCAUUCGGUUCGCGCGCUUCGGCGCAGGGCGUACGGACGAGGUCGAGGCUGCCCGUAGCAUUAGGCAGCAUGCUGACUAGUGUUUAUUUUGUCGUGUUUACACGGCAGUGGUGGUCGUCUCGUCUGUGCAAGCCACUAGCGAGCCUAUGACGGUUGACGAAAUGGUAUUCAACGACCCGUCUUGAAACACGGACCAAGGAGUCUAACAUGUCUGCGAGUGUUUGGGUGGUAAACCCGAACGCGGAAUGAAAGUGAAGAGGCAGGUUUCGUACCUGCCCACUGGUAGGAAUCGAAGCGCUUCGGCGCGACGAGGCACUACCGACCGACCUGUUGCCCUCUGUGGUGGUAGGUUUGAGUUGGAGCAGUCCUGUUAGGACCCGAAAGAUGGUGAACUAUGCCUGAGCAGGAUGAAGCCAGAGGAAACUCUGGUGGAGGUCCGUAGCGGUUCUGACGUGCAAAUCGAUCGUCGGACUUGGGUAUAGGGGCGAAAGACUAAUCGAACCAUCUAGUAGCUGGUUCCUGC